AAUCGCGCGACCAAGACGGGGGAGAGCGACGCCGUGCGGCGAGGAAUUUCAGUCGCUGUUGCGUCGAUAGCUCGUGCGACCGCGGCGGGGAAGAGAUACGUCCACGCGACGAGGGAGCCUAGCCGCUCGCUGCUGACAGCUCGCGCGACUGCGGCCUGUGCAGCAGAGGCGCGUCCGCACGACUACGGAGCUAAGUCGCUAGCUGAAGGCUUACGUCCAGCACAACAAUGGAUGCAACCUGUUUGUGGGACUACCGGAGACUUAGAAGUUCAAUUCAACAAAGCUGCCAACAUCUUUCCUGCAAACGUACAAAAACUCAAACCGUCACCCCCAUCUCGUUUUGGUGUCCUUUCUUUAAAGCAUGGCAAAAAAAUGUGUCGCCUCUGUUUUAUAUAGACCAAUUUUUCACUGGGACAGAAAUAUUGCCUACAACGGCAAACUAAAGUAGCCUGUAAUAGUAAACCAUGUGUUGCAGAAAUGCACACCAUGCUGCCUGCAUGGCAAAGCACAAGAAGAUUGACUUGUUCCAUUGGUCUAAUUUUUGACAGAUUUAUAACUCAAUCAGUUCUAAACAAAAAAUAUGUUGUUCAACUACAACAUGACCACUUGCUAAAUCCUAGAUGUUAUCAAUAAACAAUAACGCUAGAUUGAUUGUGCAGUUUACAGAAUUGGUGAAAUUUGCACUCCAUCUUCCAAUAUCCAAAGUGGUCAAGUUUAAUUAAUUAGAGCUGGGUAAAGAAGGUGAGCCCGACCAAGAGGAGCUAGCCAGAUAUGGAGUUCUCAUUGCCGCCAUCCUCCGUUGCCCAUCAGGCCUGGCCUUUCAUAGGUGUGUACUCCAGAUCAUGUCGCGCCGCUGUUCUGCAGGGCCGGCCGUCCGGCUCAGGCCGGCCGGCCCUCUCCGGCUCUUCCACUCUCUCUUGGUCUCUCCCCUCCCCUCCAGCCGUCUCUCUCGGCCUCUCCCUCCCCUGCAGCAGCAGGGCGCUGGGCGGAGGAGAGACCGAGAGGGCCGGAGGCGGAAGGGAGAGUCGGAGCCCAAGGGCAGGGGAGGGAGAGCCCGAGAGAGCCGGCCGAAGGGAAGGGGAGGGACUGAGGGAGAGUGGAGGCGUGGGCAGCCGCCGGCGCGAAGAAGCCUCCUGCAGCGUGCCCUCUCCCCCUUCUAUGUCACUGGAUAAGAUAUAAGAAAGGAGCGCGGGGUUGAAUUCUAAAAAUUCAGGGGUUAAUGUAUAAAACCGAAUCGUUUUUUCAGAAUACCACUUAAAGAGGGACUGCGGGUUUAAUUUUACAAAACAUAAGGACUUUUUGUAAAAUGUGCAACGACGGACGACCAGAAGCAUUAGCUGCUUUA